AUGCUUGCUUUGGCAGCACAUAUACUAAAAAUGGAAAGAUACAGAGAAGAUUAGCAUAAUCCCUGCAAAAGGAUGACACACGAAUUUUUGAAGUUACAUAUUUUU
rnacentral:snRNA from 1 species